UUUAAUCACAACUCUAUGACAAUUUUCUACUCCUCAUUUAUAAUACGAAAACUGAACAAUCAUAAAAUUGAACUGUUUUACUUCACAUAAAUAUCCAGCUACGAUACUCCUAUACCGUUUUUACAUAGACAACAAUCUCAAAAUCGCAAUAUGAUCAUCCAUUUACAUAUUCUAUACUCUAUGUACUAUAACGCUUCUUAGUGCCUGGUUUACUCUUUCAAAGCUGUCAGGUGCAUAAAUAUUGAUGACAGAAAAUCACCACAAGCGCACUCAAAGGCUUAAAUAAAAUAAACAUUAUCUAUCGUU